rnacentral:lncRNA from 1 species
CAGUACUUGCUGCAACAUCCCAACAUGAUAAUCCUGGUAAUAUGUAUGGGUCUUCUCUCCUUAAUCAUUUGUUAAAUAUUUAUUUAUCAUCUACUACAUGCUAAGUGCUAUGCCAGGAGUACUGGGGAUCUGGUAGCUAAUAAGACAACCUGCUGUAUAUAGAUAGUCACACAUGACAAGUGCCAGGGCACUUCUAUCGAGGCCAAAAAUGCAGCCCCACAAUCUCAUGUUUCCCCUCAGCUAUUUCAAGUCCUAUCCAUACUCCUCCAACCCCCUACCUCACCCAGCAGCCCCACUGAGCUCGCUCCCAUCUAUCUACCUUACAUUGCCACUUGACUGUCUCCAGACUCCUCGACAUGGCAAAUUCCCCAAACCUACUUCCUUUCUUGUCUUUUCUGUCUUAGGGAAUAACAUCACCAUUUACCCAUUUUCCCUGAAAUUCUUGUCCAUUCCUUUCCUGUGCUGCCCCCCAUCCCAGUAGCUACUAAUGAUGAUAUGCAUACCAAGAUCUAAUGCAGUGCAGAUACUGUUCCAAGCAUGUUGUCUGAAUUAUUAUUUAAUUCUCACAACCCCAAAAGGUAUAGAUUUUCACUGUCCCCAUUUUACUGAUGAGCAGACUGACAGUAAGUGAGCCACAGUUACUAGCCAGUUCAUGGUGGAGCCAGGAUUGAACCAAGCAGCCAGUAUCCAGAACCUGGUCUGUCUCACUCCCACAGGAUCUCCCAGUCCAGGGGGAGGGUAAGGCAUUAGACCAAGAAUUCUACAAAUAAUUAUUUAAUUACCAUGGUGAUGACAGAUAUAAAGGGGGAGAUGCAUGAAGCUCUGUUUACUUAAGACAGCGGGGAGACUCUGUUUCCUCAAAGAUGUACCCUUCACAUGGAGCCUCGUGGGGUUCUCCUCACAAUGCAAGAGAGGGCCCUCCUGGAGGAGGAAGAGAAUGUCCAUCACAGAACCAAAG